rnacentral:rRNA from 1 species
AUGGGGCGCGUGAAGCUGGCCAUCAAGCGGAUCGAGAACAACACGAACCGGCACGUGACCUUCUCCAAGCGCCGGAACGGGCUCAUCAAGAAGGCCUACGAGCUCUCCGUCCUCUGCGACAUCGACAUCGCCCUCCUCAUGUUCUCCCCCUCCCGCCGCCUCUGCCCCUUCUCCGGCCGCCACGGGGUGGAGGAUGUGCUUCUCCGGUACCUCAACAUGUCCGACAACGACCGGGGAGAACCCAUCCAGAAUCGAGAGUACCUCAUCAACAUGCUCCAGAGGCUCAAGCGCGAGAGCGACAUGGCCACACAGCUAGCAAACCCGGGGGCAUUGAACGAGAAGGUAGAGGAGAUUCAGAAGGAGAUAUACGCGUGUCAGCAGCAGCUGCAGAUCUCCGAGGAACGCCUCAGGCUGUUCGAGCCGGACCCCGCCGCGUUCGGUUCCAUGGUUGAGAUCGACAAUUGCGAGAAGUUCCUCAUGGACAUGCUCACCCGCGUCGUCGAGAGGAAGAACUACCUGCUGAGCAACCUGGCCCCGUUCGACCCGACGGCGCCCGGGAUGCAGGGCGGGAACGAGGCGCAGAUGUACGUGCACGCGAUGAAGACGGAGGAAGGCGGCGGCAUGGGCACGUUCGCCGGCGACGCCGCCGCGCUGUGGGGCUCCGACGACGGGCAGAACCCCGGCCACCAGAUCUUCGGCGGGACGGACCCGAUGAUCUACCUCAGCGACCCGGACGUGUACGACGGCAAAUCGCAGGUGGCCGGAAUGCACGGCGGCGACGGAGACGUCGGGGGCAGCAGCCAGACGGCGGAUCCGUGGCGGCAGGCGUACAGCUGCACCGAGCUGCUCUCCACGCUCAUCCCCAACACGCCCUUCCCUCUCAUGCAGCACUGCCUGGGGCCCGACGACGGCCAGUACCUGCCGGCCAUGGUGCCGGCGGCACAGGACCAGCUCGAGGCGUCCGCCAGCUGCUCCUACAACAUACCCACCAGCGACGAGAGCGGCACGCCCGUCAUGGCGUACGACGGCGGCGGUGGCGUGCCGCCGCCCAACGUCGGCUGA